CACCUGAUUAACAGAUCUCUGAACUCAGGCCAAUUAACAACCCCUCGAAAAAAUCCCCACCAAGCCUGCAGGAGUAAAAGGAAUGCAGGCAGAAGUUCAGCGGGGGGAGGGAAGUUGUCCAGUUUAUUGCACUGAAUGCAGCAUAUGCCAUUUCUGGGAUAUUUCUGGGCCCGUGGCGUGUGUGCAUUCCGUGCAAGGAGCUCUUGGCCUGCAGAGACUGUGUACGGGACCCUGAGACCAGAAUGGCUGAAUUGGAGGAGCUAAGUGCGACAGAGUGGUACAAAGAGGAGGCUUUCUGGGACACAGAAAGCCCAUUCUGACAGCAUUUGUGCAGCUGAGGAGGAUGAACAUCUCAGGGAAGGUGAACAUCAGGCUCGAGUAGAGGGAAAUGAUCCCAUAGUUGGGACUCUCCUUCCAGAUGAUGUCUUGCACUGAGGAUAACUGGGCUCCCCUCCCACGAAGAGGUAUCAGGAAAAGACAGGUAAUAGUAGGGGACUG